AGACAAGCACUCUCCUAUUAUUUUCUCCUUCAUCAUUCUCUCUGCCUUAGCUCCCAACACCUCCUCUCUCAUUCUUGGAAAUAGCAUAAGCAAAAGACUGAGAAAGAGGGAGGGAAAAUAAAGAAAAAGACGAAAGUGUGAGACGAUUGUGUGGGGGAAAGAGAAUUUCUUCGUGCUGAAAGUUCUCCCUCUUCCACCCUUUCCAAUCUUGUUUUCCAUGAGGAGAGCCUCAUUUUUCCAUGCAAGAGACUGAGAAAGUGAGAGAACAUAAAAGGAAGUAAAAGGAAAGUGCGAGAAAGAUUGAGUGCGGGAACAAGAAUUUCUUCAUAAUUGAAGUUCUUACUCUUCCACUUUUUCUGAUCUCAUUUUCGACAUUAAUUAAGAAACUCAAUUCUCUAUGGAAGAAAAGAGAAAAAAAUAAGUAAAGAGGAAGAAAAUCAAAAGGGGAUCUCCCCCACUUUUACUCCUUGAAGCAAGCAUGAAGAGGAACUCCCAGAUCUGCGAGAUUGAAGAAGAACUCUUGAUGACGACUAGGGAUCUUCUACUAUAUUUCUCGAACACACCUUGCUUCUCAGAGAGUGGGCUCGUCAGCGGCGGCUAGGGUUUGCUUCUCAUGAAGACGUCUGCCUCUAUGUGUGUGUGUUUUUUUCUAACCCUCGCCGCUGAAUGGGGUGUAUGUAUAUAGGCUACAGCAAGGACCUCAGGGCAAAUAUGACUAGGGCUUCCAACGUAAUUAAGAAUUCCUAAUCCAACUCGGAAUAAUCCUUAAUUACGUUAAUUACAAUUCAUACCACUAAAGAAUUAUAAUUGCACUCCAUGUCAUAUUCGAAAUUUAAUUUCAAGCUCCUAUUAUUAAAUGCUUAUUUAUCUCCUCACGUAAAGAUUACAGAUACCCGUCAAUUAAAUUAAAUUACUGAAAAUUUAAUUAAUUGACAUAUUAAUUCCCUGAAACCUUCCACUUAACUUAUUUGAUCUGUCAGAUUCAAAAUCCACUUGCAGGGUUUGACACAAUCAAAACUUAUAAGCUUUCUCAAAGGGGUAUCAUCAAUCCCGAUAUCGGGACAUGGAUUCCAUCAAUAACUAAUGUUCACCAUACACAUAAUAUCAUUACCCAACUCAUUGAGUUUGUUAACCCAUAAAGAAUCUCACUCUUCUAUGAAUCAAAGUAAUAAACACUACAUGCACGUGUCCAAUAAUCAUAUCAGGAUUAAGAGCAUAAGUACUCAUAAUAAUCAUGAGGUAUUAAUUGUUUUAUAUAGUCAGUAUAAAAACAAUUACCUCAAGACGGUUCUAUUUAAUACACACAAAGUGUACUAGCACAAGAAGUUGGAACUAUACCAUUCCCCAUAGUCAAAACAGACCUAUUAAAACCUUGUGCUACAGUUCUAUCAAUGGUGUGUCCAAUUCCAUUUAAGACGGUGAACAAUAAACUUAUAUUCGAUAAGAACUGAUGAUCUAAUCUUCUGUGUGUAAGUCGUACUCUACACACUAGAUCACCUACUAUAUAGAAUAAAAGACACACAUGCAUAAUCAUUAAAUAGAUAAUGUCAGACAAACAUUACUCACAAAGAUUCUCAUUAAAAUGGAAUAACUGAAGUUAUUAAUAAACAAUAAAUAUGAUUACAUAAAGCAUGUCUUCCAGUAUAAAUCUCUAACAACACACACACACACAAAAGCUAAAUUGCAAACUAUAUUGCAUGUAUUUAUUGAUCUCGAGCUAAGAAAUAUCAAAUAUCUUACAUGUAUCUUAAUGACAAUGCAGGAGAAAUCAAUUUACAUAAAUAUACAAAUCUUUGUGCCACAGUUGGCUAUAUAAACCAUCUUUUUAUUUUUUACCCUUCUUACACAAUGCAUGCUUUUAUGAGUUUUAAUAUAUUUCAAGUUAUCUUAUUUAAUAAUCUCAUUCUUUUCCUAUAUUUAAAGUUUUUCAUUUACAUAUUUCUCCUUUGGUAGAGUAUAACCAUGUUUUUACUACCUCUAACUAAGUUUAUAUGUUAUAGGACAAAGAAAAUUAUAAUUUCAUUCGCCUCAUGAACAUAGAGGAAUCAUUCUAUAUACUAUCUUUUGGAUUUAAAAACCUCCUCAAGGUAUAAAAGAAGUAACAUGUUGCUAAGGUAUCUUGGUAUAUGGUGGCGGCUAAUCAAGAGCUUAAUGGAUCAAGGCCUUUCUACAGAACCUAUUACAUUGAUAGGGAUGGGUGGUAUGGGAAAAUUAGGACACACUGCAUGUACUCACGAUAUGAAGCAUCUAUAGAAUAUAUCAUGCCGAAAAGUGGAGUGAAUUUCCUCUUUGCUUGGAAGGUUGAGAUUCAGCUUUUCGGCAGCAAAGAUGCAACAUACGUGAGGGAUUUGCAGGCUUAUUGUUGUCUUGGCUGCUGGCUUCCUUGAUCUUCCUGGUUGCAUGGACUCAUCAUUUUAUGGCUUUGUAGCCAAAAUGGGUCUCUGCAAAGUUAUAGAGUUGUGCUUUAGCAAAUGUGUUCUUGUAAGAUCAUCCAGCAAAUUUUAUUGUACAAUAUUUUAGAUAAAUCCAACCAAAUACCUCUAAUUGUAAUACCAUUAUCUAUAUUUCUUUUUCAGCACGAACAAAUAUAAAGAAAUAGGUCUAUUCCAUA